AUUGAACGCUGGCGGCAGGCCUAACACAUGCAAGUAGAGCGGAGCGGCGGACGGGUGAGUAAUGCCUAGGAAUCUGCCUGGGAGUGGGGGAUAACGUCAGGCAACGGGCGCUAAUACCGCAUACUAUCAGAUGAGCCUAGGUCGGAUGAGCUAGUGAGUGGUGUAAAGGCCUACCAGGGCGACGCACCGUACCUGGUCUGAGAGGAUGAUCAGUCACACUGGAACUGAGACACGGUCCAGACUCUUACGGGAGUCAGCGUUGGGGAAUAUUGGACAAUGGGCGAAAGCCUGAUCCAGCCAUGCCGCGUGUGUGAAUAAGGUCUUCGGAUUGGAAAGCACUUUAAGUUGGGAGGCGUUACCAACAUAAUAAGCACCGGCUAACUUCGUGCCAGCAGCCGCGGUAAUAC
rnacentral:rRNA from 1 species